rnacentral:rRNA from 1 species
AGUAACGGCGAGUGAAGCGGCAACAGCUCAAAUUUGAAAUCUGGCGCAAGCCCGAGUUGUAAUUUGUAGAGGAUGCUUCUAGGUAGCGACCGGUCUAAGUUCCUUGGAACAGGACGUCAUAGAGGGUGAGAAUCCCGUAUGUGACUGGCCCGCACCUUCUACGUAGCUCCUUCGACGAGUCGAGUUGUUUGGGAAUGCAGCUCUAAAUGGGAGGUAAAUUUCUUCUAAAGCUAAAUACCGGCCAGAGACCGAUAGCGCACAAGUAGAGUGAUCGAAAGAUGAAAAGCACUUUGGAAAGAGAGUUAAAAAGCACGUGAAAUUGUUGAAAGGGAAGCGCUCACAACCAGACUUCUAGGCAGUGUUCCGCCGGUCUUUUGACCGGUCUACUCUCUGUCUCGAGGCCAACAUCAUCUGGGACCGCUGGAUAAGACCUUAGGAAUGUAGCUCCCCUCGGGGAGUGUUAUAGCCUCUGGUGAUGCAGCGAGUCUCGGGUGAGGUCCGCGCUUCGGCAAGGAUGUUGGCGUAAUGGUUGUCAGCGGCCCGUCUUGAAACACGGACCAAGGAGUCUAACAUCUAUGCGAGUGUUCGGGUGUCAAACCCCUACGCGUAAUGAAAGUGAACGGAGGUGGGAAGCGUAAGCUGCACCAUCGACCGAUCCUGAUGUCCUCGGAUGGAUUUGAGUAAGAGCAUAGCUGUUGGGACCCGAAAGAUGGUGAACUAUGCCUGAAUAGGGUGAAGCCAGAGGAAACUCUGGUGGAGGCUCGCAGCGGUUCUGACGUGCAAAU